GCCUGCAAGAGAAGGUGCUGGCUGACAUGUUUCAGAACACGACAACCUUAAAGGCCUUGAUUGGGAUUGCCCCUUGUAGUGCUGUGACUUUUGGUUCAAGUCUCUUCACCGGCUCCAUCUCUGACCGAGAGCUGACUGAACGAAGUGGACUGCUGGAUUUACUGGAGCCAGGAGAUGGCUGCAUGGCAGACAAGGGUUUCACCAUCGAGAAGCCACUAGCUGAUCGUGGGGCAACGCUGAUUAUACCACCCUUCAAGAUGACAGUUCAUCAAAGAGGAUUCUCUGAAAACACAAGCAAUCGACCCGACUUCGAAUCCUCGUGGAAAGAGCAAUACGCAGAGUCGAGGAAUACCGCAUCUGGGAACGCACUGUCCUCUCACCUUGUCUGGGACAGUCAACCAGCUGUGGACCGUCUGCUGUGUGAUGACCAACUUCCAGGGACCACUUGAUUUAAAAGGCUACAUCCCUGUGGAAUAGUGUUUCUAGUCAAACAUAUACCUAUAAAUAUAAUAUAUAAAUAUUAAAAUGAGAGACAAUGAACAUUUGGAGUGGUCCCUUCAUUUUUUCGGAGCUGUAAUUCUUUAUACUGAAAACAGUGUAUAUAUUGAAUGACAUGUAUAUAAUUGAAUGAGAAGUCUUUCAUCUAUAAUCAAUUUUAAAGUCAAGUCAGUCCAUCCUGAAAGUAUUCAAAAUAAUGUUAAUAUGUAAUGUAGUAAAUGAUGUACUCAGUUCCUUUAUUCAUUGUUUCAGUUCCUUUAUUAAUUCAGUUCAUUUCACAUUCAUUUCGAUUUCUGCUGAAGUUACACAUUCG
ensembl:lncRNA